rnacentral:misc_RNA from 1 species
GAUGAAGAACGCAGCGAAAUGCGAUAAGUAAUGCGAAUUGCAGAAUUCAGUGAGUCAUCGAAUCUUUGAACGCACAUUGCGCCCCUUGGUAUUCCGAGGGGCAUGCCUGUUCGAGCGUCAUUAUAACCCCUCAAGCUCAGCUUGGUGUUGGGGCCUGCCGCACGGGCAGCCCUUAAAAUCAGUGGCGGUGCCAUCUGGCUCUAAGCGUAGUAAUUCUUCUCGCUAUAGAGUCCCGGUGGAUGCUUGCCAUUAACCCCCAAUUUUCUAUGGUUGACCUCGGAUCAGGUAGGGAUACCCGCUGAACUUAAGCAUAUCAAUAAGCGGAGGA